AGAGACAGAGGAUAGCAGGUAGAGAGAGAGACAGAGGAUAGCAGGUAGAGAGAGACAGAGGAUAGCAGGUAGAGAGAGACAGAGGAUAGCAGGUAGAGAGACAGAGGAUAGCAGGUAGAGAGACAGAGGAUAGCAGGUAGAGAGAGACAGAGGAUAGCAGGUAGAGAGAGACAGAGGAUAGCAGGUAGAGAGACAGAGGAUAGCAGGUAGAGAGACAGAGGAUAGCAGGUAGAGAGACAGAGGAUAGCAGGUAGAGAGACAGAGGAUAGCAGGUAGAGAGACAGACAGAGGAUAGCAGGUAGAGAGACAGACAGAGGAUAGCAGGUAGAGAGACAGACAGAGGAUAGCAGGUAGAGAGAGA